AUUCCUACGGGAGGCAGCAGUGGGGAAUUUUCCGCAAUGGGCGAAAGCCUGACGGAGCAAUACCGCGUGAGGGAAGAAAGCCUACUGGGUUGUAAACCUCUUUUUUCAGGGAGGAAAAAAAUGUCGUGUACCUGAAGAAUAAGCAUCGGCUAACUCCGUGCCAGCAGCCGCGGUAAGACGGAGGAUGCAAGUGUUAUCCGGAAUUACUGGGCGUAAAGCGUCUGUAGGUGGUUUAAUAAGUCAACUGUUAAAUCUUGAGGCUUAACUUCAAAACAGCAGUCGAAACUAUUAGACUAGAGUAUAGUAGGGGUAAAGGGAAUUUCCAGUGGAGCGGUGAAAUGCGUAGAUAUUGGAAAGAACACCGAUGGCGAAAGCACUUUACUGGGCUAUUACUAACACUCAGAGACGAAAGCUAGGGUAGCAAAUGGGAUUAGAUACCCCAGUAGUCCUAGCUGUAAACAAUGGAUACUAGAUGUUGAACAGAUCGACCUGUGCAGUAUUAAAGCUAACGCGUUAAGUAUCCCGCCUGGGAAGUAUGCCCGCAAGAGUGAAACUCAAAGGAAUUGACGGAU
rnacentral:rRNA from 1 species